UUGCGGCUACAUCACGCUGAAACACCUGUUCCCGUACGAUCACCGAAGUUAAGUAACGUUGAGCCUGGUCAAUACCGAAAUGGGUGACCGCUUGGGAAUAACAGGUGCUGUAAA